UCCGCCCACACGAAUCCUCUCUCAGACCGGAAGUCGCUCCCGGCGUUCGGUUGGCCACCCUGAACGCCCGGCUCCCGCUCCGUGUUGCCGCGGCAUCCCGUGGCCAGGACACCCAGUUCUCCACCGCGCGUGCCCUGCUCAGAGCGCCGCGGUAACGUCAGUGCUGUGGGAACCUCACAAUCCUGCAGUGCUAGUGGCAGCGCUGCAGCUGUGAAACCGUCUGCUCACAGCCACAGAGCUCGUCUCGCUAAACCCCACGGCCACGGUUGUGCUAAAUGUGUUGCACUGGAAGAGCAACUAAAAAUAAAGGAGGAGGAAAUCCAGAGACUGAAAGAAGG